AGCGAACGCUGGCGGCAUGCCUAACACAUGCAAGUCGAACGAAUUCUUCUGACUUAGUGGCGGACGGGUGAGUAACACAGGGGAACGGGCCUUGAGGUUCGGAAUAACUCAGGGAAACUUGUGCUAAUACCGAAUGUGCCCUUCGGGGGAAAGAUUUAUCGCGUUUAGAGCGGCCCGCGUGUGAUUAGCUAGUUGGUGAGUUAAAGGGUCCCCAAGGGGACGAUCGGUAGCUGGUCUGAGAGGAUGAGCAGCAACAUUGGGACUGGGACACGGCACAAAAUCCUACGGGAGGGAGGAGUGGGGAAUCUUGCGCAAUGGGGGAAAGCCUGACGCAGCCAUGACGCGUGAAUGAUGAAGGUCUUAGGAUUGUAAAAUUCUUUCACCGGGGACGAUAAUGACGGUACCUGGAGAAGAAGCCCCGGCUAACUACGUGCCAGCCGCCGCGGUAACAC
rnacentral:rRNA from 1 species